GGUGCAGCUUUUGGAGCAGAUGGUGAUGAGGAUUCAGGGUGAAGAAUUGGAGUAGGUUUUGAAUGUGGUGUGGGUGCUUGAGGAGUUGAUGAGGGAGGAGCCUUCAGAGGUGCAGGUACUUGAGUUGAUGAGGGAGGAGCCUUCAGAGGUGCAGGUGCUUGUGGAGUUGAUGAGGGAGGGGCCUUCGGAGGUGCAGGGGCUGGAGGUGGUACAGCUGGUGGAGCUGUUGGUCUUGAUCCUGGGAAAGAACCAGUAGAAGCAGCCAUUGGUUCAGC
rnacentral:lncRNA from 1 species